rnacentral:rRNA from 1 species
CAAAGGCUUGGUCCUAGCUUUUCUAUCAUCUCUAGCCCAGAUUACACAUGCAAGUCUCCGCCCCCCCGUGAGGAUGCCCUGCAGUUCCCCUACCCGGGAACAAGGAGCUGGUAUCAGGCACAGCCUAAUAAAGCUACCGCCCACGACACCUUGCUAAGCCACACCCCCAAGGGAUUUCAGCAGUGAUUAACCUUAAGCCAUAAGUGAAAACUUGACUUAGCCACGGCUAAUAGGGCCGGUAAAUCUCGUGCCAGCCACCGCGGUUAUACGAAAGACCCAAGCUGAUAGAUGCCGGCGUAAAGAGUGGUUAAGUAUCUUGAUAAAACUAAAGCCGAACGCCCUCAAGACCGUUAUACGUUUCCGAAGGUAUGAAGCCCAACUACGAAAGUAACUUUAACUAUAUCUGAUUCCACGAAAGCUGCGAAACA